rfam:Myotis brandtii contig178540, whole genome shotgun sequence.
GGCAGUUCUCAGGUGACACACCCCAGAGUCGGGCUCCCUCCUCUCUGGUUCCGGGUGUAUCACCCAAGAACUGCA